rnacentral:rRNA from 1 species
GGAUCAUUACCGAGUUUACAACUCCCAAACCCCUGUGAACAUACCACUUGUUGCCUCGGCGGAUCAGCCCGCUCCCGGUAAAACGGGACGGCCCGCCAGAGGACCCCUAAACUCUGUUUCUAUAUGUAACUUCUGAGUAAAACCAUAAAUAAAUCAAAACUUUCAACAACGGAUCUCUUGGUUCUGGCAUCGAUGAAGAACGCAGCAAAAUGCGAUAAGUAAUGUGAAUUGCAGAAUUCAGUGAAUCAUCGAAUCUUUGAACGCACAUUGCGCCCGCCAGUAUUCUGGCGGGCAUGCCUGUUCGAGCGUCAUUUCAACCCUCAAGCACAGCUUGGUGUUGGGACUCGCGUUAAUUCGCGUUCCUCAAAUUGAUUGGCGGUCACGUCGAGCUUCCAUAGCGUAGUAGUAAAACCCUCGUUACUGGUAAUCGUCGCGGCCACGCCGUUAAACCCCAACUUCUGAAUGUUGACCUCGGAUCAGGUAGGAAUACCCGCUGAACUUAAGCAUAUCAAA